CAAUUAAUAUGCUAAUUCCGAAAUAAUAAUGAUAUUAAUAAGAGAAAAGCCAGGGUAAUGUAAGUCAUGAAUUGUGAGACAUUGAAUUAGUUGGACACUACCGGUGGCUAAAAUAGGCAGUGCCAUGAUAUUAGUGAUGAAUUUCAAAUUAUUUCUAUUGCUAUGGUUAGUGAACUACUCAUCGGCUCAAGAUGCGAAUUGUGACUUCUAUCAACAAGUAAAUGUGGGUACAGUCUACUAUGUGGUUAGUCCCAACUACCCAGGGUUCUACACUCCGGGACAGCAAUGUAGGUGGAUAGCCACCUGCCCUCAAGGGUACAAUUGUAGGCUGGAGUGUCCGGCUAUUGAAUUACCUCAGUCGCCAUCAUGUUCGGUGGAUCGUCUGCUGGUAUCACGCUCGGGAGACCCUCAGCUCAACGCAGCCGACACUUACUGCGGCAGAGGGUCACUGACCGCCAUCUCUACUGGACAAACGAUCAGUAUUGGUCUGAUUACAAACAGGUCGAGUUCGGGAGGUAGAUUCAGAUGCCAGUUGACUGCACAAGCAGCAACUACCCCGAAUACUUGCAGCUGCGGAGUGCGGAGACAGCUCCGUAUAGUAGGAGGUAACGAGACAGGCGUGAACGAGUAUCCAAUGAUGGUUGCUAUCGCUGACGUGAGGAUCUCGGAGAUUAAGUGCGGCGGAGUCAUCAUAUCUGACAGAUACGUCCUUUCUGCUGCACAUUGUAUCAACGGCCAGUCUGUGUCCAACUUCGCUUUAGUCGUGGGAGAGCAUGAUGUUACAAUAGGCGACUCUUCAGCCACCAGAGCAUAUCGUAUAGAGCAGUUCCUUAUACAUCCUCAGUUUACAGAGUCCAACUACGAUUAUGACAUCGCCAUAUUGAGAUCAGCGAGUAGGAUCGAGUUUAGCGAGUAUGUUGGGCCAGCGUGCCUACCCUUCAAGUUUAAUACUGACUUCGCUGGACGAAAAGUCACUAUUCUGGGUUGGGGCACGAAAUUCUUCGGCGGGCCGAAGUCCAAUGUGUUGCUGAAGGCAGACGUUGACGUCAUCAGCCAGAGCGUCUGCAGGAACCAGAUCCAAGUCACAGACAGACAGAUGUGCACAUACACGCCCGGGAAAGACGCGUGCCAGGACGACUCCGGUGGUCCCGUGCUCUACACAGACCCGGCUACCGGUCUACUCUUCAACGUGGGCAUCAUCAGCUUCGGCAGUUCCUGUGCAUCAGGUCCAGGAGUCAACACCAGGGUCACAGCACUACUCAACUGGAUCUUAUCCAAUACACCUGAGGUCUCCUACUGUAGGAAAUGAUUGAGGGAACAACGGAUGUUAUGAGGCUCCCAAAAUUUAUAAAAGAACAUGCCACUUUUUUUUAUAUGUAAUUUAUCAUACUUUUGGGCAUUUGUACCAUUGUGCAAUUUUCAAGUUUGUCCAAGUUUGCUUUAAAACUCAGCAUACGUUGCAUGUUGAUCCAAUUUUGAAAGUUCAAAAUAAUCAUUUUCAGGACCAAUGUAUGUCUAGAGACAAACAAGACAGUAAAUAGGUAACUAUAUGUAGAUACAAUAGUUCCAUCCUUUGAAUUGUUAUACCUAAACGAGUGUGACUGAUCUUAGUGUAACUAGGACAGGACUUUUCCUUAACGUAAGUAAAUUGUGCCAAAGUUAUAAGUAUCAAGUACAAACAAACAUUGUCAGUUAUCAAAAUGUUGUUAUUUAUUAAAGAGUGGUAUAUUUUCAAUGUU
rnacentral:misc_RNA from 1 species